GAGUUCGCGGGAGAGUAAGUUAUUGCCAGGGUUUUUAUUUUGUACUUUAAACCUUAAAUUUAUUUUUUAUAUUUUUUUAAUGUUCAUGUUUUUGAAUGUUUUAUUCAAAUAAUGUAAAAAAUAAAAUAGAUAUUGACAUGGAUUGAGCAAAAGAUAUAUAUUAUUUUAUGUUGCAUAAACAAAUUGGCAAAAUAGAGAUGGAAGAUAAAAAUAUGGUCAAAGUAAUAAGAGUCUAUGGUGAAUGCC
rnacentral:misc_RNA from 1 species